rnacentral:rRNA from 1 species
ACGCUAGCUACAGGCUUAACACAUGCAAGUCGAGGGGAAACGGCAUUUAGUGCUUGCACCGAAUGGACGUCGACCGGCGCACGGGUGAGUAACGCGUAUCCAACCUACCCAUUACUGUGGGAUAACCUGCCGAAAGGCAGACUAAUACCGCAUAGUCUUCGAUGACGGCAUCAGAUUUGAAGUAAAGAUUUAUCGGUAAUGGAUGGGGAUGCGUCUGAUUAGCUUGUUGGCGGGGUAACGGCCCACCAAGGCGACGAUCAGUAGGGGUUCUGAGAGGAAGGUCCCCCACAUUGGAACUGAGACACGGUCCAAACUCCUACGGGAGGCAGCAGUGAGGAAUAUUGGUCAAUGGACGAGAGUCUGAACCAGCCAAGUAGCGUGCAGGAUGACGGCCCUAUGGGUUGUAAACUGCUUUUGUAUGGGGAUAAAGUCAAUCACGUGUGAUUGUUUGCAGGUACCAUACGAAUAAGGACCGGCUAAUUCCGUGCCAGCAGCCGCGGUAAUACGGAAGGUCCGGGCGUUAUCCGGAUUUAUUGGGUUUAAAGGGAGCGUAGGCCGGAGAUUAAGUGUGUUGUGAAAUGUAGACGCUCAACGUCUGACUUGCAGCGCAUACUGGUUUCCUUGAGUACGCACAACGUUGGCGGAAUUCGUCGUGUAGCGGUGAAAUGCUUAGAUAUGACGAAGAACUCCGAUUGCGAAGGCAGCUGACGGGAGCGCAACUGACGCUGAAGCUCGAAGGUGCGGGUAUCGAACAGGAUUAGAUACCCUGGUAGUCCGCACAGUAAACGAUGGAUGCCCGCUGUUGGUACCUGGUAUCAGCGGCUAAGCGAAAGCAUUAAGCAUCCCACCUGGGGAGUACGCCGGCAACGGUGAAACUCAAAGGAAUUGACGGGGGCCCGCACAAGCGGAG